GAUGAACGCUGGCGGCGUGCCUAAUACAUGCAAGUCGAGCGAACAGACGAGGAGCUUGCUCCUCUGACGUUAGCGGCGGACGGGUGAGUAACACGUGGAUAACCUACCUAUAAGACUGGGAUAACUUCGGGAAACCGGAGCUAAUACCGGAUAAUAUAUUGAACCGCAUGGUUCAAUAGUGAAAGACGGUUUUGCUGUCACUUAUAGAUGGAUCCGCGCCGCAUUAGCUAGUUGGUAAGGUAACGGCUUACCAAGGCAACGAUGCGUAGCCGACCUGAGAGGUUGAUCGGCCACACUGGAACUGAGACACGGUCCAGACUCCUACGGGAGGCAGCAGUAGGGAAUCUUCCGCAAUGGGCGAAAGCAUGACGGAGCAAAGCCGCGUGAGUGAUGAAGGUCUUCGGAUCGUAAAAAUCUGUUAUUAGGGAAGAACAAAUGUGUAAGUAACUAUGCACGUCUUGACGGUACCUAAUCAGAAAGCCACGGCUAACUACGUG
rnacentral:rRNA from 1 species